rnacentral:rRNA from 1 species
CCAGGUUGAUUCUGCCUGACGUAGACGCUAUUCCCUAAGAUUAACCCAUGCAUGUUAUUGAUUUUUGAAAAAUGGACUGCUCAGUAAUACUCACUUUAUUUUAUGUAUACUUAUUAUAACUACGUUAAAGUGUAGAUAAAAUGUAUACAGUAAGAGUGAGACCUAUCAGCUAGUUGUUAAGGUAAUGGCUUAACAAGGCAGUGACGGGUAACGGUAUUACUUUGUAAUAUUCCGGAGAAGGAGCCUGAGAGACGGCUACUAAGUCUAAGGAUUGCAGCAGGGGCGAAACUUGACCUAUGGAUUUUAUCUGAGGCAGUUAUGGGAAGUAAUAUUAUAUUGUUUCAUGUUUUAAAAGUAUAUGAGGUGAUUAAUUGGAGGGCAAAUCAAGUGCCAGCAGCCGCGGUAAUACUUGUUCCAAGAGUGUGUAUGAUGAUUGAUGCAGUUAAAAGUCCGUAGUUUAUUUUUAAGAAGCAAUAUGAGGUGUACUGUAUAGUUGGGAGAGAGAUGAAAUGUGACGACCCUGACUGGACGAACA